CCUACGGGAGGCAGCAGUGGGGAAUCUUGCACAAUGGAGGAAACUCUGAUGCAGCGAUGCCGCGUGAGUGAAGAAGGCCCUUGGGUUGUAAAGCCCUUUCGUCGGGGAAGAAAAUGACUGUACCCGAAUAAGAAGGUCUGGCUAACUUCGUGCCAGCAGCCGCGGUAAUACGAAGGGACCUAGCGUAGUUCGGAAUUACUGGGCUUAAAGAGUUCGUAGGUGGUUGAAAAAGUUGGUGGUGAAAUCCCAGAGCUUAACUCUGGAACUGCCAUCAAAACUUUUCAGCUAGAGUUUGAUAGAGGAAAGCAGAAUUUCUAGUGUAGAGGUGAAAUUCGUAGAUAUUAGAAAGAAUACCAAUUGCGAAGGCAGCUUUCUGGAUCAUUACUGACACUGAGGAACGAAAGCAUGGGUAGCGAAGAGGAUUAGAUACCCUCGUAGUCCAUGCCGUAAAUGAUGUGUGUUAGACGUUGGAAAUUUAUUUUCAGUGUCGCAGCGAAAGCGAUAAACACACCGCCUGGGGAGUACGACCGCAAGGUUAAAACUCAAAGGAAUUGACGG
rnacentral:rRNA from 1 species